AUUGAACGCUGGCGGCAUGCUUUACACAUGCAAGUCGAACGGUAACAGGGUGCUUGCACCGCUGACGAGUGGCGAACGGGUGAGUAAUGCGUCGGAACGUGCCGAGUAGUGGGGGAUAACGCAGCGAAAGUUGUGCUAAUACCGCAUACGUACUGAGGUAGGAAGUGGGGGACCUUCGGGCCUCACGCUAUUCGAGCGGCCGACGUCUGAUUAGCUAGUAGGUGAGGUAAAGGCUCACCUAGGCGACGAUCAGUAGCGGGUCUGAGAGGAUGAUCCGCCACCCUGGGACUGAGACACGGACCAGACUCCUACGGGAGGCAGCAGUGGGGAGUUUUGGACAAUGGGCGAAAGCCUGAUCCAGCCAUGCCGCGUGUCUGAAGAAGGCCUUCGGGUUGUAAAGGACUUUUGUCAGGGAGGAAAUCCCUAGCGUUAAUACCGCUGGGGGAUGACAGUACCUGAAGAAUAAGCACCGGCUAACUACGUGCCAGCCGCCGCCGUAA
rnacentral:rRNA from 1 species